rnacentral:rRNA from 1 species
GUGGGGAAUCUUGCGCAAUGGACGAAAGUCUGACGCAGCCACGCCGCGUGAGUGAAGAAGGCCUUCGGGUUGUAAAGCUCUGUCGCCCGGGACGAAAAUUCAGUGAGUGAAUAGCUCAUUGAACUGACGGUACCGGGAGAGGAAGCACCGGCUAACUCCGUGCCAGCAGCCGCGGUAAUACGGAGGGUGCAAGCGUUGCUCGGAAUUAUUGGGCGUAAAGGGUAGGUAGGUGGUCUCAUUUGUCUGAGGUGAAAGCCUUGAGCUUAACUCAAGAAGUGCCUCAGAAACGGUGAGACUAGAGUCCUGGAGAGGGUCGUGGAAUUCCCGGUGUAGCGGUGAAAUGCGUAGAGAUCGGGAGGAACACCAGAGGCGAAAGCGGCGACCUGGACAGGAACUGACACUCAACUACGAAAGCGUGGGGAGCAAACAGGAUUAGAUACCCGGGUAGUCC